rnacentral:rRNA from 1 species
GCCCUUCGGGGUACUCGAGUGGCGAACGGGUGAGUAACACGUGGGUGAUCUGCCCUGCACUUCGGGAUAAGCCUGGGAAACUGGGUCUAAUACCGGAUAGGACCACGGUCUGCAUGGAUUGUGGUGGAAAGCUUUUGCGGUGUGGGAUGGGCCCGCGGCCUAUCAGCUUGUUGGUGGGGUGAUGGCCUACCAAGGCGACGACGGGUAGCCGGCCUGAGAGGGUGACCGGCCACACUGGGACUGAGAUACGGCCCAGACUCCUACGGGAGGCAGCAGUGGGGAAUAUUGCACAAUGGGCGCAAGCCUGAUGCAGCGACGCCGCGUGGGGGAUGACGGCCUUCGGGUUGUAAACCUCUUUCAGUAGGGACGAAGCGCAAGUGACGGUACCUAUAGAAGAAGCACCGGCCAACUACGUGCCAGCAGCCGCGGUAAUACGUAGGGUGCGAGCGUUGUCCGGAAUUACUGGGCGUAAAGAGCUCGUAGG